rnacentral:tRNA from 3 species
GGCGCGGUAGCUCAGUCGGUAGAGCGUCCGCCUGAAAAGUGGAAGGUCACCGGUUCGAUCCCGGUCCGUGCCA